rnacentral:rRNA from 1 species
GGAUGAACGCUGGCGGCGUGCUUAACACAUGCAAGUCGAGCGGAGGUUUAAAGCGGAAGUUUUCGGAUGGAAGCAGUAAACCUUAGCGGCGGACGGGUGAGUAACGCGUGGGUAACCUGCCUCAUACAGGGGGAUAACAGUUAGAAAUGACUGCUAAAACCGCAUAAGCGCACAUUGUCGAGUGACAGAGUGUGAAAAACUCCGGUGGUAUGAGAUGGACCCGCGUCUGAUUAGCUAGUUGGUGAGGUAACGGCCCACCAAGGCGACGAUCAGUAGCCGGCCUGAGAGGGCGACCGGCCACAUUGGGACUGAGACACGGCCCAAACUCCUACGGGAGGCAGCAGUGGGGAAUAUUGCACAAUGGGGGAAACCCUGAUGCAGCGACGCCGCGUGAGUGAAGAAGUAUUUCGGUAUGUAAAGCUCUAUCAGCAGGGAAGAAGAAAGACGGUACCUGACUAAGAAGCCCCGGCUAACUACGUGCCAGCAGCCGCGGUAAUACGUAGGGG